CCUGAGGAAUAAGCAUCGGCUAACUCCGUGCCAGCAGCCGCGGUAAUACGGAGGAUGCAAGCGUUAUCCGGAAUGAUUGGGCGUAAAGCGUCCGCAGGUGGCAAUGUAAGUCUGCUGUUAAAGAGUGAGGCUCAACCUCAUAAGAGCAGUGGAAACUACAUGGCUAGAGUGCGUUCGGGGCAGAGGGAAUUCCUGGUGUAGCGGUGAAAUGCGUAGAGAUCAGGAAGAACACCGGUGGCGAAAGCGCUCUGCUAGGCCGCAACUGACACUGAGGGACGAAAGCUAGGGGAGCGAAUGGGAUUAGAUACCCCAGUAGUCCUAGCCGUAAACGAUGGAUACUAGGCGUGGCUUGUAUCGACCCGAGCCGUGCCGUAGCUAACGCGUUAAGUAUCCCGCCUGGGGAGUACGCAGGCAACUGUGAAACUCAAAGGAAUUGACGGGGGCCCGCACAAGCGGUGGAGUAUGUGGUUUAAUUCGAUGCAACGCGAAGAACCUUACCAAGACUUGACAUGUCGCGAAUCUCCUUGAAAGGGGAGAGUGCCUUCGGGAGCGCGAACACAGGUGGUGCAUGGCUGUCGUCAGCUCGUGUCGUGRGAUGUUGGGUUAAGUCCCGCAACGAGCGCAACCCUCGUUUUUAGUUGCCAGCACUUCGGGUGGGCACUCUAGAGAGACUGCCGGUGACAAACCGGAGGAAGGUG
rnacentral:rRNA from 1 species